CCUACGGGGGGCAGCAGUGAGGAAUAUUGGUCAAUGGACGCAAGUCUGAACCAGCCAAGCCGCGUGCAGGAAGACGGCUCUAUGAGUUGUAAACUGCUUUUGUACGAGGGUAAACGCAGAUACGCGUAUCUGUCUGAGAGUAUCCUACGAAUAAGGAUCGGCUAACUCCGUGCCAGCAGCCGCGGUAAUACGGAGGAUUCAAGCGUUAUCCGGAUUUAUUGGGUUUAAAGGGUGCGUAGGCGGGCGGGUAAGGUAGAGGUUAAAGCCCGAGGCUCAACUUCGGACUUGCCUCUGAUACUGGUAGGCUAGAGAGUAGGUGCGGUAGGCGGAAUGUAUGGUGUAGCGGUGAAAUGCUUAGAGAUCAUACAGAACACCGAUUGCGAAGGCAGCUUACCAAGCUACGUCUGACGUUGAGGCACGAAAGCGUGGGGAGCAAACAGGAUUAGAUACCCCAGUAGUC
rnacentral:rRNA from 1 species